GGGAAUUUUCCGCAAUGGGCGAAAGCCUGACGGAGCAACGCCGCGUGAGGGAUGAAGGCCUCUGGGCUGUAAACCUCUUUUAUCAAGGAAGAAGAUCUGACGGUACUUGAUGAAUAAGCCACGGCUAAUUCCGUGCCAGCAGCCGCGGUAAUACGGGAGUGGCAAGCGUUAUCCGGAAUUAUUGGGCGUAAAGCGUCCGCAGGCGGUUUUACAAGUCUGUCGUUAAAACGUGGAGCUCAACUCCAUUUCGGCGAUGGAAACUGUAAGACUAGAGUGUGGUAGGGGCAGGGGGAAUUCCCGGUGUAGCGGUGAAAUGCGUAGAUAUCGGGAAGAACACCAGUGGCGAAGGCGCUCUGCUGGGCCAUAACUGACGCUCAUGGACGAAAGCCAGGGGAGCGAAAGGGAUUAGAUACCCCUGUAGUC
rnacentral:rRNA from 1 species